rfam:Hepatitis C virus isolate NE274, complete genome
AUCCGUCGCCCACAGGACGUUAAGUUCCCGGGCGGCGGCCAGAUCGUUGGUGGAGUCUACUUACUGCCGCGCAGGGGCCCAAGAUUGGGUGUGCGCGCAGUUCGUAAAACUUCCGAGCGGUCAGAACCCCGCAACC